GCUGGGGGUAGAGCAGCAAAUUUGCAUACAGUAAGUUCUGACAAGCAGCAAUGACAUACUGACAAGAGAAUCUGCUGACACGAUUUUAGUUAACUACAGCAUCAGGAGUACCUCUUCAGCAAAAUCAUGCUGAGGGAUAACUUUAGUUCCCCUGAAUGGAGCAUAUCCGGUUUAACAUGGCUCUGGUGAAGCACAGUGACAUCUUGCAGGUAACAAAGAAAACAAAACUACAAAUUACUGGAUUAAUCAUACUUUUUCUUCAGAUACGGUCACUGCAAUCAAUAGCCUGUAACUCCCUUUUCGGAGUUGACCUUUUGAACAGCCUGUGUGACCUGGCAUUUUUGCCGAGUGAACUAAAGUCUUGAAGGUGUAGGACGUUUGCCGCAUGGAGCAGACUUGGAGGCAAUUCGAUGCAGCAGAACCCAGACGAGUGGGGGUGAGGCAAGCAGAGACAAGGCAAAAUCGAGGCAGCGGUGCCUGGCCUGGAGCAGAGAACGAGGAACAAUGCGGCUUGGCAGAUUUAAGCACCGGGCCUGAUUGAAAAGGUCCAGUAGCUCAGCCUGGAGGUGAGAAAAGGUCCAGUGUUCAGCUUAAUGCUCUGCAAGGACUGCUCAACUAUGCGCUGAACUAAGGUUGUGGCCUGCAAUGAAUGGGCUCCUGGAUUGACUGCAGUGACGACUGGCUUCAGGGCUGCGGACUCUCUUUUGUGAACUUCAGUUCUGAAUGAUACUUGCUUACUUUUAUUGCUUGCACAAUUUGUUUUUUCUUCCCCUGCACACUGGCUGUUCGAAGGUUUUCUUUUUUUAAAUGAGUUCUGUCGGGUUUCUUUGUAUUGUGGCUGCCUGUAAGGAGACGGAUCUCAAGGUUGAUUAUAAAUGUGCUUUGAACUUU